rnacentral:misc_RNA from 1 species
AAAAUGUCAUGAAAAAUUAAAUUGAGAUACAUUAUAUAAAUAGUAAAAGAAAUGAGGUAAAUGUGCAAAUAAUGAAACUUUAAUUAAUUAAACAUUAAACAAAUUUUAAGUGCUCCACUAACUACAAUUUAAGGGACUUAAUAAUACAAAUGGGACAGAAGUAAUUCAUCUUCUUCAACCUUUGGAAGUGUGGCCGAAUUCCUCCAUGGGAGACCUCCAUGGCCAAACUCCUUUCCUCACCAUGCAUUCAUGAUUCAAGCUCCCUUUCACCAUAAAUCCUUCAUUAAACCUUGCAUACUCAGAUGAGAAUUCCAAUUAUUGACAAGUUGUGACUGAGAUCUUCAUCUAUAGGAAAAUUGAUUGCACAUGC